AAACUUACAAAUACCCGUACUUAAAAAAGUAAACAUCAAAUAAUCUCUGAUAUCUUUCAAGAAAAUGUUGACAUAGCUCAAGGAGCUUCAUCCAGAUCCCCGAGUCGUUUGCUAGAGUCAACUUAAUAAACUCAUUUUCUUCAUCCUGCCAUGAAGUUUGCUAUCCCUGGGAAGAUGGAAAGGGCCUGCCAGAAGGGGUCGCUGCGGUGCACAGAUUUCAAAGCUAGAUACGUGAAGGGGAAGAGGAAGAUGCUUUGGAAACAGAACUAAAGGAGAGAGAUAUUUGCCAAAACCAGCACCAGAAAUCAGUGGAGUCAAGGAACUGCAAGGCCCAUAACCAUUAAGAGCCUUAACUACCGAAGCUGAUCAUCACCAUAAGAGAUAGGGGAUAUAUUUUGUGCAGUUCCCAUAUUAAUGCAGACUUACUUAAUUCACACUCCCCUCACAAAAAAGUGAAUUAAAAUGUUAUCCUUUGAAA